rnacentral:lncRNA from 1 species
UAUUAACCAGCUGGCAUACAAAUAUAGGAAGGAAAAGAAGAAAGGAAAGCCACUGUGCUUAUAGAUAAGAUAAGAAGCACUACUUUUUGUUUCCAAAAAGGAAGAAAUUUUGAUUGUGUUCCCUUGCACAUUUUUAGAACUACAAAGACCAUAAAACUACCAAAGCUAAAGAAGGAAAGACUCCAGGAUAUCUUUAUUCAUGUUAGCAAGAACAUACACUUUUGUAAGGUUCCAACAUACUAGGAAAUAUCCAUCACAGGAAAUAUCCAUCACAGAUAUAAGGAAACCUAUUCACUUCGAAACUACAAGGAGCCCUCAAGUCAGUUACUAGGUAAGAAGUAGGUCAAAAUUUAAAAUGGUCAAUUAUUAAUUGUAUUACAAUAUUCCAUACUAUAGCAUUCAAGCACAACAGGGUUCAGAGCUCCAAUGUAAAAGUCCUGAUGACUUCAAUGGAAAGCAUUAUCAAAUUAGUAUAGAACGAUCAUGACAUAAGAGGACACAUUCUGUUCUUAAUAUUAGGAAGUUGAUUCAUGUACUGGUUUGAUAUAUUGAAUUUUCAAAAUAGACGUACUGCAUUUCCCUCUUAAAAGUAUCAAGAUAGCAAUUUUUUCACAUGCCUUUUAGAUAUUUUGAAUUGUUUAUUAUUGUGAAUCAUAGUAUUCUUUACGGAGUUUCUAAAUAUGUAAAUUUUGUUUCAGAAAAACUCAAGAUUCUAUAUCCAAAAUUUAAGGUUAUAAUUAAAAAGUUUAACUCUCAAAAUCUGAAUGGUGCCACAUAAAUUGUGACAGAGGGAGUAACAAAGAUGGACAAAACUGGAUUUAGGCCAUAAGGGAUAUUUAACCACCUUUUUCCUCAAAAGAAAAUAAUGAAGAUAAGUUUCAUUAUUCAAGAAGAUUUGGCCACAUCUACACAGCUCUAUUUUGUCAGCAUUUCAGUACCCACUUAUUCAAAACCUAAAAUGAACCAAAUGUUAUUUUAAUAAUACAAGGAAAUAAAGUGCACAUCCUUUCUAUGUACUAACAGUUAAAGGAGUUCUCAGCUAUUCAGUAUGCAUUUUAUGUACAAACAGUUAAGGAGUUCUCAGCUAUCCAAUCAAUCAUUUGAUUCUUUGCUAUCAGAAUUCUGCACAUUUUCCUAAACAGAACAAAUCUGAUUGACAGAGCUUGUAUUUGUUUACACUAAAAAUGGUAUAGAUAAUCAAAAUCAAAUGUUAGCAGCCACUGAUCUCAUUUUAGAUGGUGAAAACAAACACGUUUUGAAAUUAUAUUAUUAUCGAAUACGGGAUUACAUUACAAAUCUAAUACGUUGGGUUAGAACUUGUUUGCAGGAUAUUCCACCAUGCCCAACAAAGAGAAGCAGAACAAAUUUAAUAUCAAAUGAGAAAUUUUCUUGAAACUUACUGUUGCUCUAGUUAUGCCGGGAAAGCAAUAAUCAGCAUGAGGGACUAUGUAGAUAACUGCUGCAGCAAUAGAAAUGAGACUUCUCCUGCAAGUUUUAUAUAGAGGAGUAAAUAGAUUUGAUCCAUCCUGUUGGAAAGAGCUAUGUGACAAAAACAAC